rnacentral:rRNA from 1 species
GUCUUUUUGAAGAUAAUUUAAAGUCUGAUCUGCCCAAUGAAAAUUUAAUGGCCGCAGUAUAUUGACUGUGCAAAGGUAGCAUAAUCAAUAGCUUUUUAAUUAAAAGCUGGAAUGAAGGAUUGGACGAGAAAAUUACUGUUUCAUUGUAAAUUAUUUAGAAUUUUAUUAUUAAGUUAAAAAGCUUAAGUGUUAUUAAAAGACGAGAAGACCCUAUAGAGUUUUAUUUAUUAUUUGAAAUUUUUUAAUUUUUAUUUUUAUAGUUUAAGUAAUAAAUUUAAUUGGGGUGAUUAAAAAAUUUAAUAAACUUUUUAUAAUAAUAACAUUUAUUUAUGAUUAGUUGAUCCAUUAAAAUGAUUAUAAGAAUAAAUUACCUUAGGGAUAACAGCGUAAUUUUUUUUUAGAGUUCAAAUCGAUAAAAAAGUUUGCGACCUCGAUGUUGGAUUAAAAUAUAAUUUUGGUGUAGUAGCUAAAAUUUUAGGUCUGUUCGACCUAUAAAAUUUUACAUGAUCUGAGUUUAAACCGGUGUGAGCCAGGUUGGUUUCUAUCUUUAAUAAAAAUUUAUAUUUUAGUACGAAAGGACCAAAUAUAGAAAAUAUUUUUUAAUUUAAGAAUUAUAUUAAUAUUA